UUCACCAUUUCUCUUGCUUCUAGAGAGAGAGAGAGAGGGAGAGAGUGGGAGAGGAAGGAGAAGAAGAGCUUGUAGAGGACUUGGAGCUUCACCUCCACCCUUUCUUCUCCCUUUUGGUGGAUUGGAGCUUACUUUUGGAGCUUGGUGGUGGACCAAACUUCAACCUUGGGCAUUUUGAGCUUGGAUUGAAGCUUCCAAAGGGUUAGUGACAUGUUUCCUCCUUUAGAUUCUUGUUUUGG
rnacentral:lncRNA from 1 species